CAGCCCCGGGGCCGGGCGGCUCCCGCUCACCUGCCCAGCUCCCGCGGGGUGGGGCGGAGGGGCCGCCCCGAGUCCGCGGGGCUGCGCGGAGGAGCGGCGGUGUCCCCUCCAGGGAGACCGGGCGGUGGAGAGACGGGGGAAGGGGCAGAGGAAGAGAAGGAGGAGCAGGCAGCCUCAGCGCAGUGAACCACUCAAGAAUGUCUAUGAUGAUGCAGAAGAGUGUGUGAAAACAGCAUAUUUCAGCCGCAUCUUCUUUUGUGGAUCAGCUUCUGCUACUUGCAGCUUCCCUGAAUAGCCCAUAAAGAUAAGAGCAAAGUGUACUGACAGCUUUCCAGUGUACUGACAGCAGAGUCUACUGAAAAGAGAGAGGCAGGUUGAGAAGCUUUGUAAGAGACAUGGGAGUGGGAGGAUGCUGCCUGCAUGAGUCUGUGGUGGUGCAGGAGGACAGCAAAACCUGCUCUGCUUUUGAAAGUCACAACAUGCUGUUCCACAAGACUGUCACUAAGGAGGCCAGGAUAAAAAGCAGUGGGGUUCUGUACUCCCAGCUAGGGUGGAUGUGCAGCGUUGUAGCAGAUGCUCCAGUACACUGCAAAAUAAAAUGCAGUCAGUUCUGCAGAGGGAAGUCUGCUGCCUUUUCACUUCCUCGAAUGGUGAAUCUGAAAUAGUCUGACCUCAGCUGGGCCACUCAACCCCAGGUGCAGCAGUGAUGGCCACAGCAAGUCCGACAGGAGAUGAAGCAGACACAGCACAAGGUGGCUCUAAUGAGGUGUGGAGGGGACAGGGGCUUUAUCUCCGUGCUCAGUAUGCAUAGAGGGUGCCAGACAUUGGUUGAUCAGUUAGCCAAGUGAAAUGUGAAUAAUUUUGUAGAUGUUUGUGUUUUAAGUGCAGAAUCAUAUUCAUCCCUCUGUCCAACAGAUUAGAAACUGCUUUCCAGACACUAAGCAUAGGUGCUUCUAGGCACACUGCCUUGUACUGUCAUCAAAUUCUUAAGAUGGGACAUGUGUUGGAGAUUCCAGAUGGUGAGACAAGCUAAAGACACCUGUGUUCUACAUUAAAAAAACAACUCAUAAUUGAACUGACCAGAAAAAAAUAAAGAAAACCAUUGUUAGUCAAA